rnacentral:rRNA from 1 species
UACAGAGGGUGCAAGCGUUGUUCGGAAUUAUUGGGCGUAAAGCGCGUGUAGGCUGCUCCGCUAGUCGGAUGUGAAAGCCCUGGGCUCAACCUAGGAAGUGCAUUCGAUACUCCGGAGCUCGAGUCCUGGAGAGGAAGGCGGAAUUCUCGGUGUAGAGGUGAAAUUCGUAGAUAUCGAGAGGAACACCGGUGGCGAAGGCGGCCUUCUGGACAGUGACUGACGCUGAGACGCGAAAGCGUGGGGAGCAAACAGG